rnacentral:rRNA from 1 species
CAGUCGCCGCGGUAAUACGUAGGUGGCAAGCGUUAUCCGGAAUUAUUGGGCGUAAAGCGCGCGUAGGCGGUUUUUUAAGUCUGAUGUGAAAGCCCACGGCUCAACCGUGGAGGGUCAUUGGAAACUGGAAAACUUGAGUGCAGAAGAGGAAAGUGGAAUUCCAUGUGUAGCGGUGAAAUGCGCAGAGAUAUGGAGGAACACCAGUGGCGAAGGCGACUUUCUGGUCUGUAACUGACGCUGAUGUGUGAAAGCGUGGGGAUCAAACAGGAUUAGAUACCCCAGUAGUCCCUGUCUCUUAUAA